rnacentral:rRNA from 1 species
GGGGGAUAUUGCGCAAUGGGGGAAACCCUGACGCAGCGACGCCGCGUGAAGGAAGAAGGCUUUCGGGUCGUAAACUUCUAUGAAUCAGGAAGAAAAAAGACGGUACUGAUAGAUGAAGCCACGGCUAACUACGUGCCAGCAGCCGCGGUAAUACGUAGGUGGCGAGCGUUGUCCGGAAUUACUGGGUGUAAAGGGUGCGCAGGCGGGUUAGCAAGUCAGAUGUGAAAUACCGGGGCUCAACCCUGGGGGUGCAUUUGAAACUGUUAAUCUUGAGUGCAGGAGAGGAAAGCGGAAUUCCAAGUGUAGCGGUGAAAUGCGUAGAGAUUAGGAGGAACACCAGUGGCGAAGGCGGCUUUCUGGACUGUAACUGACGCUGAGGCACGAAAGCGUGGGGAGCGAAC